GGGUCCAUAGCUUAGUGGUAGAGUAUUUGACUGCAGAUCAAGAGAUCACUGGUUCGAAUCCGCCUGGGCCCU
rnacentral:tRNA from 1 species